GCAGAAGCUGAAGAAGAUGAUUGUUGCUCUGAAACCAAAAGAGCUGAAGAUGAUGAAAACACAAGUCCUGAAGAAGCUAAUCUGCAGGCACAACUCCAGAUGUUCCGAGCUCAGUGGAUGUUUGAACUUGCUCCUGGUGUAGGUUCCAGUGGUUUAGAAACUCGAACAUCUAGGGGAUCAACAAGAGGCCCUUUAGUGAAGGCCACAGAUACCAAAGGAAAGCAAGAGCAGGCAAAAGAAGAAAAGGCUAGAGAACUAUUCCUGAAAGCAGUAGAAGAAGAACAGAAUGGAGCUCUCUAUGAAGCCAUCAAGUUUUAUCGUAGAGCUAUGCAGCUUGUACCUGAUAUAGAGUUCAAGAUUACUUACACCCGGUCACCAGAUGGUGAUGGUGUUGGAAAUAGCUACAUUGAAGAUAAUGAUGAUGAUAGCAAAAUGGCCGAUCUAUUGUCCUACUUCCAGCAACAACUCACUUUUCAGGAAUCCAUGCUCAAACUUUGUCAGCCUGAGCUUGACACAAGUCAGACUCACAUUUCAGUUUUGCCAAUGGAAGUCUUAAUGUAUAUUUUCCGAUGGGUGGUUUCUAGCGAUUUGGAUCUUCGAUCUCUAGAACAGCUGUCUCUGGUGUGUAGAGGAUUCUAUAUUUGUGCCAGGGACCCUGAAAUCUGGCGUUUAGCCUGCUUGAAAGUUUGGGGCAGAAGUUGUAUUAAACUUGUUCCUUACACCUCCUGGAGAGAGAUGUUUUUAGAACGGCCCCGUGUUCGGUUUGAUGGAGUUUAUAUCAGCAAAACAACAUAUAUUCGACAAGGCGAACAAUCACUUGAUGGUUUCUAUCGGGCCUGGCACCAAGUGGAAUAUUACAGAUAUAUGAGAUUCUUUCCUGAUGGCCAAGUCAUGGUGCUGACAACCCCUGAGGAGCCACAGUCCAUUGUUCCUCGUUUACGAACUAAAAAUAGCAGAACUGAUGCAAUCUUACUUGGUCAUUAUCGCUUGUCCCAGGACACAGACAAUCAAACCAAAGUAUUUGCUGUGAUAACUAAGAAAAAAGAAGAAAAGCCAAUUGACUACAAAUAUAGGUAUUUUCGUCGAGUGCCUGUGCAAGAAACAGAUCAGAGCUUUCAUGUUGGUCUCCAGCUUUGUUCCAGUGGCCAUCAGAGAUUCAACAAGCUUGUCUGGAUACAUCAUUCCUGUCACAUAACUUACAACAUUUCAUGAAGACCAUCUACUAAGGCAUGCGAGGGGUGGUGAUCUUCAACCAGGGAAGGAGUACCCCACACCACUGAAACUACGGAUCUUUUGAAAUCAACGGGUGAGACUGCAGUUACAGCUUUUGAAAUUGACAAGAUGUAUACCCCCUUAUUCUUUGCCAGAGUGAAGAGUUUUACUGCAUUCUCAGAAAAACCUCUUUAAGAAUUUCACAUCUUUCCUCUUAACUCUUGCAUGGGUCUAAAGUGUAGAGCAAAAGAGCACUUAAGUUAUGAAUAUGUAUAUAUUUGGAACUUAUUUUAAAUUGUUGAGGUUCUUUUGAGAAAAGUAUAAAAUGAUAUUUUUAUUUUUGAAUAGUUGAUUUGGAAAAGUGUUUUGUUUUGAAAUUAAAAUUAUGAGUUGUCUUAAGCAUUUGUUGUCAGAAACAAUAUGAGCUGUUUUAAUCAUGUCAUUUUCCAAGCAGGUCUAUAAGCAGUUAUCUUUUAAGCAAACCUUCAUCUGCCUGAUGACUAUAAUAUUUACGUGAGUCAGGAUGGGCUCUAGUGAAAAAGAAUUUUGCCGUACAUGCGACAUAUAGUACAUAUGCUCUGAAGGCUUAAAAUGCAAAAAUCAAAACAAAACAAAGCAAAACAUUGUUCUACAUUUGUUUGAAACUGAAAAGACUCUAAAUAAAUGUUUCUUUCAAGAAAAU